UACGAAGGGGGCUAGCGUUGUUCGGAAUCACUGGGCGUAAAGGGCGCGUAGGCGGCCGAUUAAGUCGGGGGUGAAAGCCUGUGGCUCAACCACAGAAUUGCCUUCGAUACUGAUUGGCUUGAGACCGGAAGAGGUCAGUGGAACUGCGAGUGUAGAGGUGAAAUUCGUAGAUAUUCGCAAGAACACCAGUGGCGAAGGCGGCUCACUGGCCCGGUACUGACGCUGAGGUGCGAAAGCGUGGGGAGCAAACAGG
rnacentral:rRNA from 1 species